ACCAUCCCUUGAUUCGCAACGACGAUACUUCAACACAACAACUUCCAGUUAUCGACAUGCACAGGUUGCUCUCUGGAGAUGACUCAGAGCUUGAGAAGCUUGACAAUACAUGUAAAGAGUGGGGUUUCUUUCAGGUACACAAUAAUUGAGCUGUGAUAUUCAGAUAAUAAAAAUACUCACUCGAGUGCAAAUAAAGAAAACCGACACUAGGUUAUCAUUGUUUUUGUGAGCGUUUUAUCAGCUCUCAGUUUCUUUAGCAUUUUCCAUUAAAAUCUUUUGUUUCCUGAGCUUUAUAUUUGCUAUAUGAACGAUGUAUGGAAAGAACAUCUUGCUUUAAUUUGCAUAUAUGCAGUUGAUUAAUCAUGGAGUUAGCAGUUCAUUGGUGGAGAAAGUGAAAGCAGAGAUUCAAGACUUCUUUAAUCUUCCAAUUGAUGAGAAAAAGAAGUUUUGGCAACAACCAGGAGAUAGUGAGGGAUUUGGGCAGCACUUUAUUGCGUCUGAAGAGCAGAAGCUUGAUUGGGGAUACGGCUUUACUAUGGUCACUCUCCCAACUCAUCUGAGGAAACCCCACUUGUUCCCUAAGUUGCCUCUUCCAUUCAGGUUCUAAAUUCAAAGCGUAGAGUUUUGCUAUAUAGUAUGUUCAAUCUUAUGAUAAUUACUGCACUAUAUAUUGUUAUUUCCAUGCAGAGAUGACUUGGAAGUUUACUCAACAGAAAUUAAAAAUCUUACCCUGAAAAUCCUUGACCAAAUGGCUAAAGCUCUAAGAAUGGAUCCCAAUGAUAUGGAAGAGUUGUUUGAAAACGGGAUGCAAGCAUUCAGGAUGAAUUAUUAUCCUCCUUGUCUGCAACCAGAAAAAGUUGUCGGCCAUAAUUCUCAUUGUGAUGCCGCCGCACUCACCGUCCUCCUCCAAAUCAAUGAGAUGGAUGGUCUCCAAAUUAAGAAAGAUGGAAAAUGGGUUGCUGUUAAACCCCUUCGAGCUUUAUAUUUGCUAUAUGAACGAUGUAUGGAAAGAACAUCUUGCUUUAAUUUGCAUAUAUGCAGUUGAUUAAUCAUGGAGUUAGCAGUUCAUUGGUGGAGAAAGUGAAAGCAGAGAUUCAAGACUUCUUUAAUCUUCCAAUUGAUGAGAAAAAGAAGUUUUGGCAACAACCAGGAGAUAUUGAGGGAUUUGGGCAGCACUUUAUUGCGUCUGAAGAGCAGAAGCUUGAUUGGGGAUACGGCUUUACUAUGGUCACUCUCCCAACUCAUCUGAGGAAACCCCACUUGUUCCCUAAGUUGCCUCUUCCAUUCAGGUUCUAAAUUCAAAGCGUAGAGUUUUGCUAUAUAGUAUGUUCAAUCUUAUGAUAAUUACUGCACUAUAUAUUGUUAUUUCCAUGCAGAGAUGACUUGGAAGUUUACUCAACAGAAAUUAAAAAUCUUACCCUGAAAAUCCUUGACCAAAUGGCUAAAGCUCUAAGAAUGGAUCCCAAUGAUAUGGAAGAGUUGUUUGAAAACGGGAUGCAAGCAUUCAGGAUGAAUUAUUAUCCUCCUUGUCUGCAACCAGAAAAAGUUGUCGGCCAUAAUUCUCAUUGUGAUGCCUCCGCACUCACCGUCCUCCUCCAAAUCAAUGAGAUGGAUGGUCUCCAAAUUAAGAAAGAUGGAAAAUGGGUUGCUGUUAAACCCCU
rnacentral:lncRNA from 1 species